UGUAAUCGCCUUAUUAUUAACUUGGACAACCUAGAGGUGAUUGAUACCAUGAAGAACGAAGGACAGUCGGCGGGUGCGGCGACGGCAAUUUUCGACGAUUGUUUUCAUUAUGCUUGUGACUUCGUUGCUACUAGAUUCGAACACUGUAACAGAGAAGCAAAGAAAGUAGCUCAUGAGCUUGCGAGUUUAGCUAGAUUUAUGUUGAUUUUUUUUGAGAAACAAGAGUUACAAACUCAAGUAACGGGGUAG
rnacentral:rRNA from 1 species